AUUGAACGCUGGCGGCAGGCCUAACACAUGCAAGUCGAACGGGCAUCCUCGUGGUGUCAGCGGCAGACGGGUGAGUAACGCGUGGGAACGUGCCCUUCGGUUCGGAAUAACUCAGGGAAACUUGAGCUAAUACCGGAUACGUGCGAGAGCAGAAAGGUUUACUGCCGAAGGAUCGGCCCGCGUCUGAUUAGCUAGUUGGUGAGGUUACGGCUCACCAAGGCGACGAUCAGUAGCUGGUCUGAGAGGAUGAUCAGCCACACUGGGACUGAGACACGGCCCAGACUCCUACGGGAGGCAGCAGUGGGGAAUAUUGGACAAUGGGGGCAACCCUGAUCCAGCCAUGCCGCGUGAGUGACGACGGCCUUAGGGUUGUAAAGCUCUUUUCUCCGGGACGAUAAUGACGGUACCGGAGGAAUAAGCCCCGGCUAACUUCGUGCCAGCCGCCGCCGUAA
rnacentral:rRNA from 1 species